rnacentral:rRNA from 1 species
UACAUGAAGCUGGAAUCGCUAGUAAUCGCGAAUCAGAAUGUCGCGGUGAAUACGUUCCCGGGUCUUGUACACACCGCCCGUCACACCAUGGGAGUCGGAAAUGCCCGAAGUCAGUGACCUAACCGAAAGGGAGGAGCUGCCGAAGGUGGAGCCGGUAACUGGGGUGAAGUCGUAACAAGGUACC